ACUUAGUGGCAGACGGGUGAGUAACAUGUGGGUAUCUACCCUUUGGCCUGGAAUAACACGAGGAAACUUGUGCUAAUACCGGAUAAGUCUUUACGGAGAAAGCUUUAUGCACCAAUGGAUGAGCCCGCACUUGAUUAGUUUGUUGGUAGGGUAAUGGCCUACCAAGACUAUGAUCAAUAGCUGAUUUGAGAGGAUGAUCAGCCACAUUGGGACUGAGACACGGCCCAAACUCCUACGGGAGGCAGCAGUGGGGAAUCUUGCACAAUGGAGGAAACUCUGAUGCAGCGAUGCCGCGUGAGUGAAGAAGGCCCUUGGGUUGUAAAGCUCUUUCGUCGGGGAAGAAAAUGACUGUACCCGAAUAGGAAGGUCCGGCUAACUUCGUGCCAGCAGCCGCGGUAAUACGAAGGGGCCUAGCGUAGUUCGGAAUUACUGGGCUUAAAGAGUUCGUAGGUGGUUGAAAAAGUUGGUGGUGAAAUCCCAGAGCUUAACUCUGGAACUGCCAUCAAAACUUUUCAGCUAGAGUAUGAUAGAG
rnacentral:rRNA from 1 species